CCUUCGAUAGCUCAGUUGGUAGAGCGGAUGACUGUAGGUACUUAAAAUGGCUAUCCUUAGGUCGCUGGUUCGAAUCCGGCUCAAAGGA